rnacentral:lncRNA from 1 species
UUGAUAUAUGAGAUGAAUCACAUUGUAUUAAGAUAUUUUUCACUCCGAAAUCCAAGUUUCGACGUUCUAAAUGUUACCCUAAAUCGGGAUAUUAAUAAUCUUCGGUAGAGUUUUAACCGACAAUAUUCGGGCAUGAUUUUAAUCACGAUGUUUCAUCGCGUUAGUCACAUCACCCAUUCAUUUAUUUAAAAAAAUUAUUAUAACACUUUUUUUAUUUAAG